UACGAAGGGGGGCUAGCGUUGCUCGGAUUGACUGGGCGUAAAGGGCGCGUAGGCGGCUUGUACAGUCAGACGUGAAAUUCCUGGGCUCAACCUGGGGGCUGCGUUUGAUACGUAUGGGCUUGAGUUCGGAAGAGGGUCGUGGAAUUCCCAGUGUAGAGGUGAAAUUCGUAGAUAUUGGGAAGAACACCGGUGGCGAAGGCGGCGACCUGGUCCGAUACUGACGCUGAGGCGCGAAAGCGUGGGGGAGCAAACAGG
rnacentral:rRNA from 1 species